UCGGCUUCGCGGGCCAAUCAGAGGAAGGCCGGGGCGUGGCUUCCUGGUUGCCUAAGCUCGCGAGGGAAGAUGAAUGGAAGCGGGCGGGGUGGUUCUCACAGCAGUGAAUGAGGAAGCGCGCGUGGAAGGCAAAGCGAGUGGCGAUUGUGACGUCAGCAAAGGAGGAUUUGCAUAGCUGUGGGGCACCUUUGCAGUGGAGAGGAGCUCAUCACAGAGUCAGCUUGACACUGAGGCCGAACACAGAACUGAUCUGACCUGCAGCAGGGAGUUCCUCAGUUCUUCAUUGCAUGAGGGUGGCCACAACAGCAGCUGCAACUCAGAAGCCGCCUUAUUUCUUUGCUUGAACUCCAUAGUUUGACACUGAGACCAACGCAGAACUCCCUGCCUUCAAGCUGAUCUGACCUGCAGCAGGGAGUUCCUCAGUUCUUCAUGGCCCCGCUUGGGCCAACUGCAUGAGGGUGGCCACAACAGCAGCUGCAACUCAGGAGCCGCCUUAUUUCUUUGCUUGAACUCCAUAGUUUGAUACUGAGGCCGAACGCAGAACUCCCUGCCUUCAAGCUGAUCUGACCUGCAGCAGGGAGUUCCUCAGUUCUUCAUUGCCCCGCUUGGGCCAACUGCAUGAGGGUGGCCACAACAGCAGCUGCAACUCAGAAGCCGCCUUAUUUCUUUGCUUUUCCCCCUUCCUAACAUUGUAACUAAUCCCCCCAAUAAAAAGUAUCAAUUGGUUGUAA